GACGAACGCUGGCGGCGUGCUUAACACAUGCAAGUCGAGCGGAAAGGCCACUUCGGUGGUACUCGAGCGGCGAACGGGUGAGUAACACGUGAGUAAUCUGCCCUUGGCUUUGGGAUAGCCACCGGAAACGGUGAUUAAUACCGGAUAUGCACUACUUCUCGCAUGGGUUGUGGUGGAAAGUUUUUCGGCCAGGGAUGUGCUCGCGGCCUAUCAGCUUGAUGGUGAGGUAAUGGCUCACCAUGGCUUCGACGGGUAGCCGGCCUGAGAGGGUGACCGGUCACACUGGGACUGAGACACGGGCCAGACUCCUACGGGAGGCAGCAGUGGGGAAUCUUGCGCAAUGGGCGAAAGCCUGACGCAGCGACGCCGCGUGAGGGAAGAAGGCCUUCGGGUUGUAAACCUCUUUCAGCAGGGACGAAGCUACUCGGGUGAACAGCCCAGAGGGUGACGGUACCUGUAGAAGAAGCCCCGGCUAACUAC
rnacentral:rRNA from 1 species